GGGGAGGGGCGGGCACGGCCAGCAGGGGCGGGCAGGGGCCCGCAGGGGCGGGCAGGGGCUGCCUUAGGCUCCUCUCCUGCUCAGCUCAGACUCUGCAAAGUUUCCUUCAAGUGCAGCCAGAGCUGUGCAGAUGCCUGUGGAGUAGCAGGAUGAACAGAAGAUCCGACCUGGUGAUCAUCGUCUCGGAGUCUGGUACCGCCAUAGGUUGCAAAGGCAGGCUGGUCCCUGGAGGAUGUUGACGUGUUUGAAAUCAAUGAAGCCUUUGCAGCAGUGUCUGCAGCAAUAGCUACAGAACUUGGAUUAAGCCCCGAGAAGGUGAACAUCGAUGGAGGAGCCAUUGCCUUGGGACAUCCUCUGGGAGCAUCUGGCUGUAGGAUUCUAGUGACCUUGUUACACACCCUGGAGAGAGUGGGUGGGACUCGUGGUGUUGCAGCCCUGUGCACUGGGGGUGGGAUGGGGAUGGCAAUGUGUGUUCAGAGAGGAUGAGCCACCACCCUUACAGUUCUCAUUAAAACACUAAACAGAAUGUGAGACCAGAUGACCAAAGUGACCCAGGUGGUCAGCUUGCUGUACUUUAGUGUGAGACACCCAAGGCUAAGACGUUGAGACAUUGCACUUGACACUGUUAUAAAAAGGGGAAAUCCAGUCAAUCAUCAAGGGCUCCAGAGUGAACGACAGUUUCAUAAUUUCCAUGUUUAUUGUCUUUGCUUUCCGGGUAUAAUUUUCUCUGAUCAUUGAUUUGUUUGUUUGUUUGUUUUUGAGUCAGGGUCUCAUCAUAUAGCCUGAAAAUCGUUUUGUAGAUGAUGUAGGUUUUGAAGUCCCAGAGAUCCACCUUUCUGUGCCGCCUGAGUACUCGAUUUAAACGCAUGUGCCAUUAUGCAGGGUCCCCAAAAUGAUCCAUUCAAGGAAUGGGGAUGUGGCUUCUGGUUUGAACUUGAGGCUCUUCGGUCAACACCCCUGCUUGCUUGUUGUCUUGUGGUUUCCCAUUGAUCAAACCAAGACCAAUCCUGUAAUGGAAAUUGGAUUCAGUGGCCUCUUCUAAGCUGAGGUGGUGGGGUAGGUAUUCUAGCUAUUCUAGUCAGAAGAUUGCCCGUCCCAACCAGUGUGCCUCUGGGUGUUGGAAAGUGAACAGCAAGCGCCUUCAGUGCAUUUAUUUCUCCACUUGACCAGGCAGACGGUAAUUGCUUCAAACGUCUACCUUGACUUCCCCAAAAUGAUGAACUGUGACUGGAAUUGAAAGCCAAAUAAACUCUUUCCUCCCUUGCA